UGGACCUAACCAAUAUAGUUCAGUUGCAAUCUCAGCUGAAGUAGGAGAGGGACCUGACUACACUCGAAUACAAUUUGGGUGGACUGUGUUCCCAUUGCAGUUCCAGGACAGUUUCACUCAUUGGUUUUUUCAAGUAACCAACAUAACAAAUGUUCCA